rnacentral:hammerhead_ribozyme from 1 species
AUCCAGUUGACGAAUGCAGAAUAGGAUGAAACGUGCGUCAUGGAU